GACCGCCAUAGCGGAAGGAACGAAGCAUGUGCCCCUAGAUGAGUAGAUCUAUCUUGCGGCGAACAUGCAUCAGACUCGACGCGAUAUGCAGUCAGCACUGGUUAUUUUGUUGUUAAACUUAUCAUUAGGGGCCUACCAUGCUGCCGUUACUCAUUCGUGGUGUAUAUCUGCAUUCGAUCAACAAAAAGAGGUACCAGUUUGAAAAUCAUAAGGAAAAGAAUCCAUCUGUCUUCUGAUGAGGGAACGCAACAAACUUAUUCCUCACAAACACUGUCGUCCGAAUCUGAGUCAUCAAUUGCUGCUGCAUCCUGAAGCGAU